GACGGAGGAUGCAAGUGUUAUCCGGAAUCACUGGGCGUAAAGCGUCUGUAGGUGGUUUAAAAGUCUGCUGUUAAAAUUGAAAGCUUAACUUCAAAGGUGCCGUAGAAACUUUUAAACUUGAGGAUGGUAGGGGUAGAGGGAAUUUCCAGUGGAGCGGUGAAAUGCGUGAGAUCUUGGAAAGACCACCAAUGGCGAAGGCACUCUACUGGCCAUGACUGACACUGGAGAGACGAAAGCUAGGGGAGCAAACGGG
rnacentral:rRNA from 1 species